AUUGAACGCUGGCGGCAUGCCUUACACAUGCAAGUCGAACGGCAGCGGGGACUUCGGUCCGCCGGCGAGUGGCGAACGGGUGGGUAAUGUAUCGGAACGUACCAUUGAGUGGGGGAUAACGUAGCGAAAGUUACGCUAAUACCGCAUAUUCUCUCCGGAGGAAAGCAGGGGACCGCAAGGCCUUGCGCUCUUUGAGCGGCCGAUAUCAGAUUAGCUAGUUGGUGAGGUAAUGGCUCACCAAGGCGACGAUCUGUAGCGGGUCUGAGAGGAUGAUCCGCCACACUGGAACUGGGACACGGUCCAGACUCCUACGGGAGGCAGCAGUGGGGAAUUUUGGACAAUGGGGGCAACCCUGAUCCAGCCAUGCCGCGUGAGUGAAGAAGGCCUUCGGGUUGUAAAGCUCUUUCGGCCGGGAAAAAAUCGCAUGGGCUAAUACCCUGUGUGGAUGAUGGUACCGGAAUAAGAAGCACCGGCUAACUACGUGCCAGCCGCCGCCGUAA
rnacentral:rRNA from 1 species